rnacentral:lncRNA from 1 species
AAACAAAGAUGGGCGGUGAACUCAAUAGAGUGAGUUAUAGUGAUCCCUCAACUGUGAAAAAAAUUAAUAAUUUGACGAGACAAAUAUGUAUAGAUAUCAUUUUACAUUAUAACAUAAAGAUAUUAAAAGAACUUUUAAUAUCUUUUUGGGCUGAGAAAAAAACUCAUUCACUAUAAAAGUCUUGUGUAUCUUCUCUCUCCGUCUAUUCAAAUGUCGAUACUACACUGAGCAAUGAAGAUCAAACGGAUAAUUACCUCCCUUCCUGUUAUCCUAACUCUUGUGUUCAUUUGUUUCAGGUCCUCUCACCUUUCAAUUCUCUUCCAGUGUUUGAACUAGAUCUUUGGGAUCACUAAGCGUAAGAUCGCAUUUCACAUAUGUAUUUCUAUAUUGCUCAUGAACGAUAAUAGAUUAGACCUAUGUAUAUGCAAAGUUAACAACUUAAUGUUUUAAAAUGGUAAAAAUUAAAGAAAAAUAAAUAGAAAUUUCAAUCUUAUUAUCAUAAAAUUAGAUUAUGAAAGCGGAGGUGUUUUACAUUUUUGUUGGAAAGAUCGCCAAAAAUCCAUCUAUCAAUAAAAAUGGAUGAUAAUUAAUUCUUCUCUAUUAAAAUUUUUAUAAUUAAAAUUUAGCACAUGUUUUAAAAUAUUAAAUUUUCUAACUACUCUAUAUUUUUUU